GACGAACGCUGGCGGCGCGCCUAACACAUGCAAGUCGAACGAGCGAGAGAGAGCUUGCUUUCUUGAGCGAGUGGCGAACGGGUGAGUAACGCGUGAGGAACCUGCCUCUAAGAUUGGGACAACAGUUGGAAACUACUGCUAAUACCGCAUAAGCCCACGUCCCGCCAUCGGUUUUAUGGAAAAUGAGCAUUCCGCUUUGGGUUGGCCUCGCGUCCGCUUUUCUGGUUGGUGAGGUAACUGCCCACCAAGGCGACGAUCGGUAGACGGAAAGAGCGGUUGAACGGCCACAUUGGGACUGAGACACGGAACAGACUGCUACGGGAGGGAGCAGAGGGGAAUAUUGCAAAAUGGGGGAAAAGGAGAAGGAGCGAGGCGGGGUGGAGGAAGAAGGUAUGCGGAAAGAAAACUACUGUUGUAGAGGAAGAUAAUGACGGUACUCAACAAGGAAGUGACGGCUAACUACGUG
rnacentral:rRNA from 1 species